CUCCUUUUGCUUUUAACCUUUCCCAGCAUCAGUCUUUUCCGGUGGGUAGGCUCUUUGCAUCGGUGGCAAAGUAUUGGAGCUUCAGCUUCAGCAGUCCUUCCAAUGAAUAUUCAGGAUUGAUUUCUUCUAGGAAAUAGGACUGUGGAGACCCACGGCCAUAUUGUGAUUUUCAUGGGUCCUAGCCACUUUUUUGCCUUUGUGGCUGUGGGCCCGCUCCUCGAAGUUUUUUUUUAAUAAAAAUAUAUUUUAUGAUUGCAUGAGAAUAAAGAUGAGUAUACUCACGUAUUCAAAUAUUUUUAAAAUCUAAAGCUUUACUGUUUCUACAAAGAAAACAUUUUCAUAGGCCUCCAAAAGUACUGUGGACCUUCUGCAUGGAUAAUCCUAAUGGUGAAUGGGCCCUGUUUGUACCCGUCAGCUCAGAGUCUGUUUUGGGGGCAGCCCAGACUAAGACAUACUAGGUUAGAGGAACUCCAGCAAAGAGGCUAUUGAGAAGGGAGUGUGUGGGGUUGGGGUUGGAGGAAAGAAAGGAGCAGCUUCAUAAAUUCAUCACCCAUCUCCCCCUCCCAUCCAGUCUCCAUCCCGUAGAGUCUGUCAUGCCACUUCGCUGAAGGAUGGGUCAGACCAUGCUUCCUUUACCCAAGGUGUGCCCUCUGCACGUCCACCCCUUCAUCUCCACUCCUUCUGCUCAUACCAGGCAAACAGUGAGGCCCACCCACUCCUGUAGCCCUAUCUCCUCCGUCUCUUUUCAGGGACAGGCCUCUAUCCUGCCCCUGCUGCCAGGGGAGAUAGGGGGCCCUACACUUCUCAGAAGGCUCCCUCAUUGCCUGCCUCCUGAGGCCCACGUCUGGCGUAUCUGGCCAUGCUCUCCGCACCCCCCGACCCUUCCUGGAGCAGGCCCCCUCCUCAGCUUCUGAGAGCCUCAGGAAGAGAGUAGACAGGAGGAAAAAAAGCAGCUCUUGUACGAUAUUAGCCUUUCGCCUGUCUGAGGCUGGAUCCUGCCCUCCCUGGGGGGCUCAAAGCUCUUAGGCUUCUCUUCGAGCUACCAGGCAACUGGCAGGGACUAAAGAGCUUAUGUUUCUUAAGUGGGAGUGGCUGGUGUUUAUCAAAGACUCAUGUGCGGGCUCCAGAGGCCCCUCUAGACGGUGGCGGAGGCCUGUCCCGAGCUCUGUGGAGGCAGGAAGUUCCCGGCUGGGCUAGGGCUUGCUGGCUUUGCUGAAACACUGGCAGGAUCUGAGGGAAGCAUUCCUCACGAAUGUCUCCUUCAGAGGCUGCUGGAUUCCUUUAACAGCUAAUUAGUGAGAAGUCGCUACUGUGAUGGGGGCUGACCCAGGCCUUCCUCCACCUCCUCCUAGGGGUCAAGGCCCCCAGGGAGGCCAGCCAUGCUUUACUAUGGCCAUAUUUCCUCCCCGACGUCAGCUGUUUCUUCAGGAGUCAUCUCUCCAGCUUUCAGCCUUUUUUUUUCCCCUUCAGAAACAGGCUUUUCCCUGACAAGUUUGCAGCUCAAAAGGAGCCGGCUCCUCUUAACUGUUGAAAUCAGGCGCAUCUGGAAGCAGUAAACUUUUCAGCAGGCUGAGAGGAAGAAAAGACAUAUUGUAGGGGAUGGAUUCACCUCUGGGACUAAUUAUUCUUUAUAUUUCACCCGUCACAUUUACAAUCUUCGUCAGAGCAAAGAGACAAUAAAUGAUCUCAUUAAAACCCAGAAAGAUGCUUCUCCCUGUUGAGAAGAACCUUGUCUCAACGCCCUGAUCUCUGACGAGAGGGUCGUGUCAAGGAGGCUGGCGUGGGGCCUGGGGACCAGGGAUGGGAGGGGCAGGGCUCUGCCAAAUGUUUUCCCUUGUUUGAAUACAGUAUCUUAUUUUUUCCGUCACUGGAAAUAUUCUUGUGAGUCUGAAAUCAAGAUCUUCUCCAGCCACAUUUUUCCCCCAGAGGCAGAAUCCUGUUGGGGAUGGAGGGGGUGGGGAGCACAGUGACCCAGAGAGAGAAUGGGAUUGUGAGGUUUAAAAAAGUAUCUAAACCAAGAGAAAAAGCAAGAAAGGGAGAAAGAGAAAGAAAAAAAAAAUUAUCUCAAUCAUCUCUCUUCCCUAUCAAAAACCCAUUCUGGUGGAAAGAUUCCCGAGGAGAAAGACACUGCAUGAGAGUCUUCCAGGGCUGGGGGGACCCCCACAGAGCCAUCUCCCUUUUCCAACUGUACGAAGGGGUGCCCAGAAGGGGCCACCACCCCCUAGAGUCCUCCCAGUCCACAACUCCUUAUCCUCCACCAGCCCCAGUGGCUUUAGGGCAACUUAGAAGCGAUUCCCCCGCUCCUACUUGAAUCCCCAGUCCUGGGGAUGUGCGCAGGAGGAGAAAUUCUCUCUCCUGGCAAUCUUCUCAGGUGUUGGCCCCGAGGUGGCCAUGCUGCUGGGAACUCCCGCUGAAGGGGGCUGAUGGGGUCCAGGGCCUUGCUAUUUAAAGUGUGAUCAGAAGCAUUAACAUCACUUGGGGAGCCCCUUCCACUCCCACGUCUGGGACAUUUUAACAAAACCUCCAGGUGAUCUGUAUGAAUACUAGAGCUUGAGAGGUAAUGCCCGAGGCCAGAGUUUCUCAAUUUUUCUCUUAGCUCAGCUCACCUAGAGGGCUCUUUAAACCUCAGGAUGCAGACCCUUAAUGGCAGAGAUUCUGACUCAGCUGGUUGGAGAGGCUGCAAAUUUGCGUUCAGAUACAUCUGCAGGUGGUAUGGUUGCUGCUGGUCCAGGGACCACACCAAGCUGAUUCUCAAGCAUUCCUAGGUGCCACUUGAAGAAACGCAGAUUCAAAGGUCUUGUCAUCUAGUAACAGGGUCGAUCGAACAACGGGCAUCUAACACAGCUUACGGUAUUCUACUGACUCUUGGGGAAUGAGACACUUCUUACAAGGGAUGAGGCAGUUCAGGCUCUGCGAGCCUGUGUGAAUUACCUAAUGUUUUUUAGACACUGAGUGAAUGAGCCAAGAUUUGAACCCAGAUAUGCCAGACCUAUGCUUUCUUACCUCAUCACAACUUGCCUUAAGAAAAUCAUAUUCAAGAUGAAAGUACUUUGUCUUUUCUGCCGAGCACUCCUCGACAAGGCUCAGAGAACUCCCCGUCCUAGGACAGAGGAUGCAGCUUGACUGAUGGGGGAAGCAAGCAGCGCAUGAACCCGGGAAACUCUGAGACUCGGGGAGAGGCACAGCCACCUGCAGUUGGAGAGCCCCUAGUUUGAGGAAGAAGGCACAAACCUGCAAUGAGGAAACUCACAUAUACACACAUAUACACCUAGGCACACAUAUGCAUACGUAUCCACAUCGUUGUUUAGUUGCUAACUUGUAUCUGACUCUUGUGACCCGAUGGACUGUAACCCGACAGGCUCUUCUGUGAGUGAGAUUUCCCAGGUAACAAUACUGGAAUGGGUUGCCAUUUCCUUCCCCGGGGGAUUUUCCGACCCAGGGAUCGAACCUGCGUCUCUAGCACUGGCAGGUGGAUUCUUUGCCACUGAGCCACCAAGGAAGCCCCAUACGUGUAUGUGUGGCUUCACAUACAUAUGUGCACAACCAUAUAUGUUACAUAUUUCCACUAAACAUAUUUAUUAAUAAAAAAUUUUUUCCUUAGAACGCAUAUAGAAAAGUGACACUGAUAAAUAAUGCUGAGACUUGAAAACAAGGACAUAAUUAGUAUCAGUUGACCUAAACGCUGGAGUUACUGCUAGGGGAAUAGGUCUUAAAGGGAGAGAGCAAAGCCUGGGGAUGCGCCGAGGGCUUAAUCUCAGGCUAGGAAAGAAUGGCAGAAACCCCGCCUGCUCCUUCCCAACAGAGAUCUCUUCAUCACCAAAGCACAAUAGCUUCACCCAGCCCACUGUAACAGGAUAAACAAGUUUGAUGUAACUUCCAAAUCUAUUUUCUAUUGUAAGUUCCGUUUAUUGAAUAAAAUAGCAAUUCAAC